rnacentral:rRNA from 1 species
GCAGNGGCGGGUGCUUACNCAUGCAGUCGAGCGGUAAGGCCUUUCGGGGUACACGAGCGGCGAACGGGUGAGUAACACGUGGGUGAUCUGCCCUGCACUUCGGGAUAAGCCUGGGAAACUGGGUCUAAUACCGGAUAUGACCUCAGGUUGCAUGACUUGGGGUGGAAAGAUUUAUCGGUGCAGGAUGGGCCCGCGGCCUAUCAGCUUGUUGGUGGGGUAAUGGCCUACCAAGGCGACGACGGGUAGCCGACCUGAGAGGGUGACCGGCCACACUGGGACUGAGACACGGCCCAGACUCCUACGGGAGGCAGCAGUGGGGAAUAUUGCACAAUGGGCGAAAGCCUGAUGCAGCGACGCCGCGUGAGGGAUGACGGCCUUCGGGUUGUAAACCUCUUUCAGCAGGGACGAAGCGCAAGUGACGGUACCUGCAGAAGAAGCACCGGCUAACUACGUGCCAGCAGCCGCGGUAAUACGUAGGGUGCAAGCGUUGUCCGGAAUUACUGGGCGUAAAGAGUUCGUAGGCGGUUUGUCGCGUCGUUUGUGAAAACCAGCAGCUCAACUGCUGGCUUGCAGGCGAUACGGGCAGACUUGAGUACUGCAGGGGAGACUGGAAUUCCUGGUGUAGCGGUGAAAUGCGCAGAUAUCAGGAGGAACACCGGUGGCGAAGGCGGGUCUCUGGGCAGUAACUGACGCUGAGGAACGAAAGCGUGGGUAGCGAACAGGAUUAGAUACCCUGGUAGUCCACGCCGUAAACGGUGGGCGCUAGGUGUGGGUUCCUUCCACGGAAUCCGUGCCGUAGCUAACGCAUUAAGCGCCCCGCCUGGGGAGUACGGCCGCAAGGCUAAAACUCAAGAAAAAAUNANCCGGA